UGUCAUGGCGGCUGUACGUGGGGCGCACUCGUGCGCGCCGGGUUACCUUGCCUCGGUCUGUCAACCCGCGUACAGCUGCCACCCGU
rnacentral:antisense_RNA from 1 species